rnacentral:lncRNA from 10 species
UGGGAAUGCAAAACAAGCAAAAACAAAACCAACCGGGUUUCUCCCAUGGGGCAAGUGCUGUGCAAAGACCUGGUGUUGAGAGACCAGAGUUACAGUUUUUUAGAACUUCCUGUGUGUCCUCACUUAACCUCUCUAGUCUUCCGAUUUCCUCAAAGGAGACAGGACAAAUGAGAGCGCUGCUUCUCAAAUGUGCUGAGGAAUCACCCGGGGAUCUUGCUAAAAUGCAGAUUCUGCUUCAGCAGGUCUAGGGUGCUGUGAGAGAUACUUCGUUUCCAUUAAUAAUAAGCUCCCGGGUGAUGCUGCAUCCUGGAUCCCCCCAGGGUACAUUUCAAUCCCGAGAGUCUAUGAUUAGUCACUAUAUUCACACAGCUUAUGUGUUCUUUUUCAUUCACUUCAAUCAAUGUGUUGGAUUAAACUCACAACUAUUAUUCUCAUUUAUGAACAAAACCCAUCACCACCAACUGUCG